rnacentral:rRNA from 1 species
GAUGAACGCUGGCGGCGUGCCUAAUACAUGCAAGUAGAACGCUGAAGGAGGAGCUUGCUCUUCUGGAUGAGUUGCGAACGGGUGAGUAACGCGUAGGUAACCUGCCUGGUAGCGGGGGGUAACUAUUGGAAACGAUAGCUAAUACCGCAUGACAACAGUUAUUGCAUGAUAACUGUUUAAAAGGGGCAACUGCUCCACUACCAGAUGGACCUGCGUUGUAUUAGCUAGUUGGUGAGGUAACGGCUCACCAAGGCGACGAUACAUAGCCGACCUGAGAGGGGGAUCGGCCACACUGGGACUGAGACACGGCCCAGACUCCUACGGGAGGCAGCCGUAGGGAAUCUUCGGCAAUGGACGGAAGUCUGACCGAGCAACGCCGCGUGAGUGAAGAAGGUUUUCGGAUCGUAAAGCUCUGUUGUAAGAGAAGAACGAGUGUGAGAGUGGAAAGUUCACACUGUGACGGUAUCUUACCAGAAAGGGACGGCUAACUACGUG